rnacentral:ncRNA from 1 species
GGACGAAUCAGGCAAAGCCCGGGCAACCGGGUGACGGAAAACCACGGGUCCACCGCAGGUGGAUGGCCGGGUUGCCUGA